rnacentral:ncRNA from 2 species
AGAGGAAGCCCGGUGCGAAUCCGGCGCGGUCCCGCCACUGUCACCGGGCUCUCGCGCGGCAGCCGCCGCCUGAAGCCCGGGAGCCAGGAACUC